rnacentral:rRNA from 1 species
UACGUAGGGGGCAAGCGUUGUCCGGAUUUAUUGGGCGUAAAGAGCGUGUAGGCGGCCGUACAGGUCAGCUGUGAAAACUCGAGGCUCAACCUCGAGACGUCGGUUGAAACCGUACGGCUAGAGUCCGGAAGAGGAGAGUGGAAUUCCCGGUGUAGCGGUGAAAUGCGCAGAUAUCGGGAAGAACACCCGUGGCGAAGGCGGCUCUCUGGGACGGUACUGACGCUGAGACGCGAAAAGCGUGGGGGAGCGAACAGG